rnacentral:lncRNA from 1 species
UCCUGUGAUGUUAAUCAUUAUUUGCUUCUUCUAAAACCAUAUACGGGCUAUGUUAAUACAAUAAUUUGAAUUAAAAUGACAAUUCAUUUUAAGCCCUUGUAUCUGGAAAAACUCAAAAUGACCCAUAUGGCUUGGAAAUUUUGUACAAACUAAAAUAAUAUACUCAAGUUGAUUGCUGUCAUGUCUCCAUAAAUUAUUUCCAAAACUUCAGUUGUUGACAAAAUUCCUGUAUGCAAUCUGAAAGAGAGGUAGGCAGACACAAUGUUUUACAAAGAAAUUCUAAGGAGACUAUGCAAUGUAUAUCAUAUGACAAAGUAGGAAUGGAAGGAUAUCUUUGUACCUCUUAUCUCGAUCCGCAAAGAACACAUGAAAGUUUCGUAUAAUCCUUUAAGGCAACGUAGGAGAUGAAUGAAACUGCAGCGAUACAAAUAGAUAGCAUAUUUCCCCUGGUACUCGGCAUAAUUUGAAAUGGAAACCUCAAUAAACAUGCCUG